CAGUAGCCGCGGUAAGACAGAGGAUGUAAGCGUUAUCCAGAAUGAUUGGGCGUAAAGCGUCUGUAGGUGGCUUUUCAAGUCCGCCAUCAAAUCCCCGGGCUCAACCCUCGACAGGCAGUGGAAACUACCAAGCUGGAGUACGGUAGGGGUAGAGGGAAUUUCCGGUGGAGCGGUGAAAUGCGUUGAGAUCGGAAAGAACACCAACGGUGAAAGCACUCUGCUGGGCCGACACUGACACUGAGAGACGAAAGCUAAGGGAGCAAAUGGGAUUAGAGACCCCAGUAGUCCCUGUCUCUUAUAC
rnacentral:rRNA from 1 species